UACGAAGGGGCUAGCGUUGCUUGGAAUCACUGGGCGUAAAGGGUGCGUAGGCGGGUCUUUAAGUCAGGGGUGAAAUCCUGGAGCUCAACUCCAGAACUGCCUUUGAUACUGAGGAUCUUGAGUUCGGGAGAGGUGAGUGGAACUGCGAGUGGUAGAGGUGAAAUUCGUAGAUAUUCGCAAGAACACCAGUGGCGAAGGCGGCUCACUGGCCCGAUACUGACGCUGAGGUGCGAAAGCGUGGGGAGCAACAGG
rnacentral:rRNA from 1 species